UGUAUAUAAGAAUUUAGUUCAAACUUUGACCUGUGGAGGGCAGUAAUACGCCCAGUAGCGUCUACACUGCCGGAAAGAUAGAAGAAGAAGAAGAAGAAGAAGUCUGAAGCGCAGUUCAUUUCGUAGACCGAACAGAGUGGAGCUCAUUUGCAAAGCAGCAGUUUAGAUUGAAUUAUUAUUCCUUUUUGUCUCACUUCUCCUACCGCAGUUAAGAGAGCUCGGAUGAAUGAUAAGUCCAGGAGUGAUAAUAUUGAGGAAAGCUAGUUUAUAGUUGAUUCUGAAGAACAAAUGAGAUCUUGUUGACGACUAAUUCAGGGUUAUUUACAGUUACAGUGGACUUUGUGAACAGGGAUUCUAGGGAGAGAAGGUGAAUUGGAAGAGGCAAUGGUUUGAAUGUUCCUCACUAUGUUCACUGUAAUGGCUGUGGUGUUGUAUAACUUAUUCUGUCUUGUAAUAUUGUAUGUGGAUGUAACAAAAUUGCACAAUCCUGUUUGUUUCUAUACAUAAACAAAAUACAUG